ensembl:Mt_tRNA
GUUAACGUAGCUUAAAUAAAGCAUGACACUGAAGCUGUUAAGAUAAACCUUAGCCUGGUUUCGUAAACA